GGGUUGUAGCUCAGUGGUACAGUACUUGCCUAGCAUGUGUGAGGUACUGGGUUCAAUCCUCAGCACCAGUUCA
rnacentral:tRNA from 1 species